AUUUGAGUAUAAUUGGGUAAAGAAAAUUUACGACACAAAGGAGAGUGAGAAUUAGGAGUACUCGAGCAAGAUUAGUCACAUGCUACAUGUUAAAUUUAUUUGAGCUUGCAUUUACCUCAUUCAGACAACUCUGAACAUGAAAUCAAUUAAUUGAGCUUCACCAUGCUUUCACCACUUAACCAAUGCCUAAUGGUUAAAGUCUGGCUUUAGCACAUUCCCAGGUUUGUUUUACAUAUUGUUAUUCGGAUGCUAACUGUUUUAUUUAUUCAUAUUUUUUAUGUCUCAAGAUGUUUUUGUUAUUUUUCUUUUACAUAUCGAAACUAAGACUUCAGAGUGCCUAUUUCAUUUUCUUAAUAAAAGCUUAUUCAACACAAGUGCACCUUUUUCUUUUUCAUGGACAAGUGUUUCGGUUUAAGUAUCGUUUGUUUUCUAAAGAGAGCAAUAUUAUCUCAAUCAUACAAAAUAGUGUUACUGUGUAUGGUUUGUUAUGGUAGAUAUUCUUAUGUAUUGCUCACUUUGAUUUGACAGGCUUUAUGCAAACUGAGAAUCUAAGAUCAUUACAUUUGAAUUGUAAAGAAGGAAGCUUGCUGAAAUCAGUUGCCAAAUUAAAGGUUAGAUUGAAGUUGGUGUUGAGUGUUGCAUCCUCAACAAAGCUCUUGAGUCCCUUGUUACAAUUUCAGAUGACGAUAAGAAAGCCCUGUUUUCGGUGGACUGACCUGAGUUUGUUCAACCAAUGGAGUGCAUGAGCUACUAAUUUAAAUGAGAACCACUAUGAGAGCUCCAACUGUUGAAAUCCAUAUCAGUUCAGAAUGACCAAAAUAUCAAAAUGGGAACUCAGAACAAUAUAUUCACAUCUAGAUCAGCUUCUAUCAGGGAGUAAUUUUAAGUUCACAAGUUUAUGGAUUCAAUUCAAGAGAUGGAAGUCACACUUGGGAAAGCUAUAAGCUUGGGACAAGUUUAUGGGUUCACACAUGCUGCUGGAUAUUCUUCAGGCUUUGGUGGAUUGGGAGCCAUGAGGCACAUUAAAGUGUCCCUCCAACUUGCAGAUUUCGACACAUAAAGAUCAAAGUUGCUAAGGAACUGAACUUUUUUCAU